AUGCGCAAUUUCCUUUUUCUUUAAAAAAACUCAGCGUAAAGAAAAAAAAGAAAAGAAGAAAAAACUCCCGUCUCGUCUCCGCUCCAGCGAGUUCGCCCACCGCCUGCGCCGAUUUCCAUCUCCCGAGCGAGCAGAGCAGGAGCAGGAACAGGGGCGCCGUCGUCCUGCUGCUUCAGCCACAUCCCGGUUGUUGUGUCUCGGUAUCAGUAGUGAUGGGGAAGAAUGUGAAGGUGAAGGCCAAGAACCUUGGGAUUCAGCUUUCCGAAUGGGCGGUUUAACGGCUCUCAAAUCACAUAAUUAUUUUUAGUUCAGAAACAGAAAUGUUUGAAGUACAGGUAUUAGCCUAGUUGAGCAAUUAUUUUGAACAGCAUCCUAUGAUAUUGAUGCUGUUGCUAACAAAAUUGUCGUUAGCGAAAGUUCAUAUCUGGCAAACCAACCAUUUGACAUUAGUUAGUUUGGCUUCAGUGAAUCAUUCAUAACUUGUGAAGCACUUCAUUUGCUGGAGGAAAGUACACUGGAGCUUUCUACCACCCUCUGUUUUUCUCCACAGCCAAAAAAAUUACAAUUCUUUCAAUGCAUGGAUAUGUUUCUUUGAAAACGCACACCUAAAAGGCGGUCAGGAUGUUACAUUUCCAGCUGACCUCUUUGGAUGAUAGGAAUGCUUGCAAAGUUGAUUCAAACUGACAUAGACGAUAACAUGACCAGGAAUGGAUUUUAUGAGCAUUUCACUUAAAUGUUUUGAAAAUGUGUCUGAUGGCAUUAAUCUGCAGAUUAUUUCCUUUCAUUCAACAUCAUGAACUGUUUUUCCCAGCCAUCUGAAAUUUUAGAACACAGGAAGCUACUAUAAUUUUGUGUUUUCCCUGAACGUGAGAAGUUAAUGGUGGUUGAGUACAAGAAAUAAGUUUUAACUAACACAGUAAAGAUGUAGUGUUAUAAAACUGGAAAAACUAUUUGUUACUACAGUUUUGAAAGGUAGCUUCUACCUCCCUCAUCUAAUUUAUGUUUUAUUAAUCUGAAAAGAUUAACAGGCUGCAAACUUCAAAGAUCAUGUUCACAUUGCUGUAUCCAUCGUAAUCAGUAGUGUCUCUGUAGAAGCGUAGAGUUACAGAUGAUCGCAGACGUUGAACUAUAUUAUAGAUGGAAGGUUAACGUAUAAUCCUUUUACUUAAUCCAACAUGAUGCUGCCAUGAAGAUGGAAAAUUUUAUUUGUAGAUGACAAGCAGGAAGAUAUCAUGAUAGGUAACUGAUCGUAAUAUUUUUUCUUUUGGUGACAGGUGGAGUUGUAGAGUGUAUUUUCCGUGUAUAUUAAAGAAACAUAUCACUGUAACAAAGUGCUAGCUUGCUUGUCUCCGAUGCUUCUAGGCCUCUAGCAACAGAUGGCAUUUUACAAAGAUAUGCCUAGAUCUCAUUACUAAGCACAUACUCCCUCCGUCCCAAAAUAUAGUUGCCUUUGUAGUUCAAACAAAGGUACAAAGGUAGCUAUAUUUCGGGACAGAAGGAGUAGUACAGUAAGGACAAGGAAACCGGUUUCCUUUCCUACCAAUACCCAAUUUUGGCAUUCUGAACUAUUUUCAGCUAAUCAAAUGGUUCUUUCUUCUGUUCAAACAAGAAGAAACAGGUACUCCUGCUACUGACUGGGAUAAAAUUUGAAGCCUUAAUGGUAAUCGCUAUGAAGUUCCAAGUUAUUAAUUCUAAUCUCUGGGAAAGUGUUCAAGUAAAGAGCCUACUUUUUACUGCUGCAGAUUAUCAUGAUGCCACAGCAUUGAUAUCAUGAUUGUUACCUACAUCUUUCUACUGUUAUGUAUAGAGGUUGUAAAUUCUCUGUAUGUAAUUUGCUAAAUCAACACUGUACUUAUGAGUUAGUCAGAAGGAAAAAAAAUGGAUUUAAUACACCAACAAAAAGUAGCCUGCAAAUGAAUACUAAUUUGAGGUGCCAUGUACUCAUGUUAGUGGUCUAAUGAUUGAGUUGCAACUAAAUCUCUAUUCUGUCUUCAGCUUCAUGAUCACUUCUUGCUAGCUAGCUGUGUACUGCACUUCUGUGCUGGGUAAUCUGGAGACAGCAUUUUGGUUUGUCUAGAGGGUGAGGUGCAGAUUUACAGCAAAGACUCACUUCCUAAUAAGGUAAUAUGUACAUGUUUACUUCUGUUGGUGGAACCAGUUUGUUAUGCACAACUGAUUUAUGCUUUGCCAAUGAAGUAGCAACCUGUAUUCUUUCCCUAACAAUGCAGUGCAAGAAAACACCUGUGUUAAUGUAGGUUGUUGAAUUGACGUUAUAACUAAAGCUGGAUAUGGAGUUAUGAUUGUUGCUGCAGCCCGGAGUUUGUUCUUCUAUGUUUGAUGUUCUAGUAUACUAGUUGGUCAAGUAAUUUAUUUUUCUACUUUUGCUCCAAGAUAGGUAAUCAAAUUUCUUUGAUUAAGUGCUAGGUCCCUGGUUCCAGACAAGAAAAUGCAUAUAAUGUGAUAAUUCACCUGUUCUGGGAUUACUACCAGAUUUAAACUUUUUGACAAGUGAACUAGAAUGUCGCCUUGAUUAGAUGUGAUCUGAUUCUGCAGUGGUUUAAAAUAGAUAGAGUAUUCCAUUUUGUUCUGAUGUUUUCUGGGCUCAGAAAAUAUGAUCUUGUUUUCACAAUUUGCAUGCUCUUAAAAAAACUUGCGCUGAAGAAGGAUUUUGUGAAUGCCUUUUAUGUCACAUUCAUGUUUCUUAAUAUUCCUUGUUUUACAAAUAAAGCAAUACAGAACUAGGAGCAUUAUAUUUCUAAAAGAAACAAAAGUAUUAUGAAGCUUGUGGCUAGAAAAAAUGGAAUGCUAUUUCAAACUAAUGCAAAACAAAGAUUGGUGUUAAAGUUCCUUUUCUAAUUAAGAGAAGAGGGUCGGUGUCUACUCGUUCAGAAAUUAUAAUUAAGUUUGUACUCUCUUUUCUAGAGCUUGAUUGUUUUUUUUCUCUUGUGAACUAUAAAUGUUAUGGACUAAAGCAUCUCCUGCAUGUGUCCCAUGUGAAGCACUGCAGUUGAGAAUGUGAUGAAAAAUCUAAUAAAUUAGGAGAAAACUUUUAUUUCUUUGCUGACACGCAUAUUAUUCAAUGGUAUUAUCCAAGGGAGAGAAGUGCACAGCACAACCCAAAUGACUCAUCUAUUGAUAAUGAAGGUUUGUCCCCUUUAUGCUCCCUGGUUUACUGCAAUAAUGUAGAUUUAUCCCUUAUAUGCUCCCCAAUUUAAUCCAAAUGACUCAUGUAUUCUGGUAGUGAAGGUUGUGGUCCCUUUUUGUGCUCCCUGUAUUACUGCCAUAAUGCAGGUUUGUCUUUCUUAUGCUCCCCGAUUCACUGCAAAAUGCACAGCAUAAGUUCCAAUGUAUAUCAUCAAAGAACCUUUUGUGAUGAAAAUGAUAUUUACUUGUCAAGCACUUCAUAAUAUGAAAUUGCAUGGCAGUCAUGUACUCAUGUUUGUGACCACAUUAUUAUUAAACUCCGUGCGCAAGCCGUCCAUGGAGUAAAACAAAAAGUAGGAACGGGCUUCAUUUGUGCUCUUUGAAGUUGAACAGAUCAAUCACACAUCACUGAUACGUGAGAGAGAUUGACCCGUAACUACUCUGGGUGACUGAUUGAUAGAAUCGCGUCAAUUUGGGUUACUGAUAAACUUGCAAAAUCAUUAACGUCAGCGUCCAAACAACGACCAGAUCAGAGUAACCAUUGCCAUCAAAGUUGUUUGUAAGAAGCUUAGGCACGCAAUCGCUUGUUGUCGACAUCCUUACUCCACUGCCAAGAUUUGUUAGCUAAGUAUUCAUAUAUGCACACAGAAACUAACAGAGAUAUAAAAUUAUGAAAUUCACAUUGGCUAGCCAUUUGGAAGUUUCAAUGUGGAGUAUCUAGUUUUCUUCUGGAUGAAUGCAUCACAGGGGUAGCUUUCAUGAUUAUUGAUUUUACAGGAUCAUUACUGAAGUUCCAGAGAACAUAUAUUUUUUAUGGCAUCUCUUUCUAUUCGUAUUCCUGGUGUAUUAUUUGUGUACUUUCUCUUUGCUUUUUAAGACAUUCAAGGAAAACGUGUGAGUAUAUAUAUUUUUUCACAUCUAGCAGUAGCAUAGUAGAGAGUACUCAAUAUGGACAUUGUUGGCAGCACAAGUAACCUGUCUAGCAAUAAUUCAAUUCAGUACUUCUGGGUUCAGCAAUCAAUCAUUUUUCUUACCAAAUGGGACAUAAAAUUAUGGGUGGCAAUAGAUGCCUGUGGAAUAAUGCGAGAUAGACUAUCUUAGUUAAACAUUGGGAGUUGGAGAAAAGAAAGGGAGAAGGGUAAAUAAACUACCUAGACAUACCAAUACAUCUUCCUCAUUUAGAGUUUCUCUCAACCUGACAUGCAUAUAAAAUUUUGUUUCUUUAUCGUUUUUAUUUUUAGGCAUCAUCUACUAAUUUAUUUAUAUCAUUUUUGAACCUCUGUUACUUUCUUGACGUUCGCAGUAAUUGUUUGUUCAUGCUAAUGCUAGGAAAAGUAUGUGAUGGAAAAGAUUUUGCCUUCUUUAACAUGUAUGAAUGCAUUUGGAUGACUAAAUCACAGUUUUAUUCUUCAAACAUGGAGCAGCCUAAUCUGAAGGGUCCUACUUCUACAGGUACAAGGUCCUUGAUGCAUCAGUUCAUUGAAUGUAAGACAUCAUUUUAUUCUCUCAUGAUUUCAGUGAUGCUAAUCCCUAAAGGAGUAAUCAGUUUUUUUGUUUUGACACAGAUUCCUUAGCUGUUUGUCAUAGCAAGAAAAUGACUUUACAUGCAGGUUGUUUCACUUUUAGGUGCUCUUAGGUGAGAAAAAGCAUGCCAUAUGCCAGUACGGAUCUUUUUGUGUCUGUUAGACAACAAAAUACCAUUGCCAAUUCGGUUUUGUUAGAGAGCGAUGCCAAUACAAACAAG